UGCCCCAUGGCCCAGUUGGUUAAGGCGUCCGACUGUUAAGCGCUUUGCGCCAUACAUCGGGAGAUCGAGAGUUCGAAACUCUCUGGGGCAG